rnacentral:rRNA from 1 species
UUAACCUACGGUCUUGACAUCCCUGACAACCCGAGAGAUCGGCGUUCCCCUUCGGGGGACAGGGUGACAGGUGGUGGCAUGGUUGUCGUCAGCUCGUGUCGUGAGAUGUUGGGUUAAGUCCCGCAACGAGCGCAACCCUCGACCUUAGUUGCCAGCAUUCAGUUGGGCACUCUAAGGUGACUGCCGGCUAAAAGUCGGAGGAAGGUGGGGAUGACGUCAAAUCAUCAUGCCCCUUAUGACCUGGGCUACACACGUGCUACAAUGGGCGGUACAAAGGGUCGCGAACCCGCGAGGGGGAGCCAAUCCCAAAAAGCCGCUCUCAGUUCGGAUUGCAGGCUGCAACUCGCCUGCAUGAAGCCGGAAUCGCUAGUAAUCGCGGAUCAGCAUGCCGCGGUGAAUACGUUCCCGGGCCUU